GGGGCAUUAGCUCAGCUGGUAGAGUGCCACACUGGCAGUGUGGAUGUCAGCGGUUCGAGUCCGCUAUGCUCCACCA
rnacentral:tRNA from 3 species